rnacentral:rRNA from 1 species
AGCGAACGCUGGCGGCAGGCCUAACACAUGCAAGUCGAGCGGCCGUAGCAAUACGGCAGCGGCAGACGGGAGAGUAACACGUGGGAACGCGCCCUUCGGUUCGGGAUAACUCAGGGAAACUUGAGCUAAUACCGGAUACGCCCUUACGGGGAAAGAUUUAUUGCCGAAGGAACGGCCCGCGUCCGAUUAGCUUGUUGGUGAGGUAACGGCUCACCAAGGCGACGAUCGGUAGCUGGUCUGAGAGGAUGACCAGCCUCACUGGGACUGAGACACGGCCCAGACUCCUACGGGAGGCAGCAGUGGGGAAUAUUGGACAAUGGGCGCAAGCCUGAUCCAGCCAUGCCGCGUGGGUGAUGAAGGCCCUAGGGUUGUAAAGCCCUUUCAGCGGGGAAGAUAAUGACGGUACCCGCAGAAGAAGCCCCGGCUAACUUCGUGCCAGCAGCCGCAGUAAAAC